UGUAAAGUAAGCUAAACUAUAAGCUAUCGGGUUCAUACCCCGAAUAUGAGUAAAUUCCUUUAUAA
rnacentral:tRNA from 1 species